AUACUUACCUGGCAGGGGUGACACCAUGAUCAAGCAGGUGGUUUGCCCAAGGUGAGGCUCUGUCAUUGCACUCUGACCGUGCUGACCCUUGUGAAUUCCCCAAAUGUGGAAAUCUCAACUGCAUAAUUUGUGGUAGUGGGGGACUGUGUUCGCGCUCUCCACUG
rnacentral:snRNA from 1 species